rnacentral:lncRNA from 10 species
AGAUACUUGCAAGCCUAUUCUAAACACAUACACACACCUUGUGUUCAACAACAACUAAAGGUGGAGACUCCGGCAUAGAACAUUUAACAGCUUGCUCAAGAUCGUCCAUCUCCUAAUGGGCAGAGCUAGGUUCUGGAUUCAGACAGCCUGGCUCCACGAUCCAAGUUUUAAGGAGAGAAAGACAGCUAGAGCAGAAAGGAAUAAAAGAAGAGAAGAGUCAAGUGGAGAAGGUCGGCUGAGCUGCCUGGUCCCUGUUCCCACGGAGACCGCUGAAAUAGAUCCAGGCUGCGU